CAAAAUGAACAAGUGACCCCGUAAAAAUUACUGGCUGCUGUAAAACAUAACAUUACAUGUGUAUGCUACUGCUAAACAUUGCAGAACACAGAAACCGUGUCAGAGUAACAGCUUUCUUUGAACGCCCGCCAUUUUUCUCUAUUUCCGCGUGAGGUGCAGCGGUCACGUGGUACAAGCCGAGAACUCCCAGACGUGAAAGCUUUUUACAAAGGACUAACUCCUUGUACCCCUAAGCCAUGAUGUACCAAAAAAGCAUGACCUGCUUGCUGUAGCGAUCUCAACAGUACCACUUUUUUGGGUCACAU